GGAGACAGGAGGGAGUCCUCUGCUCCCUUCAAUGGAAUAAAAACUGCGCAAUUUCUGGAAGGGCUCCCCAUUCUGAAUGGCCCUUUAGAGGAGUCCACUGCGCACGACCCGAGCUGUGGAUGGACACUUUUGCUUUUUCCAAGCGCUCGCCUUUCAUUUUUAUUUUUUUAUUUAUUUCAGAGGAAGAAGGGGAGCAAUGCAAUCAUUCAGAAAAGGCGAAACGACCAUGCAGAGGUGGAUCAUGCAGGGAUGAUUUGUUUUUCAUCCCCUCUUUACACUUAAACUCGUUUUUAGGUGUUAAAUGGAGGUCUGUUAGUGUUUUUAAUGACAGAGGAGGGGAGAUUUUUCUAUUAUUUUUUUUUAAGGGGGCUGCGUCAUCUUAGGAUAGGUAUGGAGAUGAUCUGCCGUGCAGAUUACACUCUGCUUUUCGCAGCUGAUUCUGGGAUUAACAUCGAAAAGAAAAAAAUCCUGACCAGACUGGAACCACCUGCACCAGACUGAAAUCAUCAAAUCGAACGACUGAUGAGUUUUGACUGUUGGAGAAAGACGUUCAACAAGAUGGACAAGAUGCAAUGGGACGCCUGCAGGGAGAAAAAUCCUCCAUUUUUACAGAUGGAGGGGAGGGCUGUUCUGCAUCUGAACAGGGUUUACCUGCUCAGGUAAGACCUUCUGACCUCUUAUCUCCACCUGCCCGCCCGAG